CAGGCGAUAAAGAGCCCCUACUCUGAUUCCUCCUUGCCGGUUGACGUAUAAACCCAUUGUAAACAAGUCCAUUUGAAUCUAUAUGGCCUUCCGCUGCAUCCACUGACUGGAGGGGUGAAGGCGGAAGGCACGGCUAAAACCCCCGAAACUGCGGAAUUUCUCUUAACCUAAACCUCAAAGUAUGAUGGAAACUAGAUAAGCUCACC